rnacentral:rRNA from 1 species
UUGAAAGGGAAACGAUUGAAGUCAGUCGUGCCGGCGGGGAUUCAGCGAACUUCGCGGAGUGAGCGUAUUUCCUCGCAUGGCAGGUCAGCGUCAGUUUUGCGCGUCGUGAAAGGGCUCGGGUAAGGUGACUCUCUUCGGGGAGUGUUAUAGACCUGAGCAGAUGCGAUGCGCGGGACUGAGGAUUGCAGCGGACACCCUUCGGGGGCGCGGCGACCGAUCCCUGCUCCGUCACCUUCGUCCGAUAGCGUGCUAACGGUCGAGGGAGCGGCGGUUGCACUGGGUUGGCAAGCCGGCGGCUUUCGCUAAGGAUGCUGACGUA